UACGUCACUCCCGCCCCUCCCGCGGCCGCCGCCGCCAUGUUCCGGAACCUGCUGGUGGCGGCGGCGCAGCGGCCCCAGGCCCCGGGCGGGUCCCCGCGGCCGCCACCUCCCGCCGGCCCCGCCGCCGAGGCGCUGGAGGCGCAGUUCAGCUGCCCCAUCUGCCUGGAGGUUUUCCACCGCGCCGUCGGCAUCGCCGGCUGCGGACACACGUUUUGCGGGGAGUGCCUGCAGCCCUGCCUGCAAGUGCCAUCACCGCUCUGCCCGCUCUGCCGCAUGCCUUUCGACCCCAAGAAGGUGGAGAAGGCAUCCAGCGUGGAGAAGCAGCUCGCGUCCUACAAAGCUCCCUGCAGAGGCUGCAGCAAGAAGGUGACCCUCGCCAAGAUGCGCUCUCAUGUCUCAUCCUGUGCAAAGGUGCAGGAGCAGAUGGCCAACUGCCCCAAGUUUGUUCCCGUUGUCCCCACGUCCCAACCAAUCCCCAGCAACAUUCCCAAUCGCUCGACAUUUGUGUGCCCGUACUGCGGCGCCCGGAACCUGGACCAACAGGAGCUGGUGAAGCACUGCAUGGAGAACCACCGCAAUGACCCCAACAAAGUGACGCUCUCUGGAAUGAGCUGCCUCCGUUCCCCUGUGCCUGCGACCUGCCUGGUGUGGAAUUUCCUCUCCCCAUCCCUGCUGGGUUGACCGAGAUGGUGAAUUUCCAGCUCUGGCACCAUCUCAGACAUGAGGAAGAAAUUGUUGCCCCUGAGGGUGGUGAGAGCCUGGCCCAGGUUGGCCAGAGAGGUGGUGGAUGAACCAUCCCUGGAGACAUCCCAGGCCAGGCUGGACGGGGCUCUGAGCAACCUGAGCUGGUGUGCCCGGUCUGCUCAGCCAUGCCCUGGGGGGACCCCAGCUACAAAAGCGCCAACUUUCUCCAGCACCUUCUCCACCGGCACAAGUUCUCCUAUGACACGUUUGUGGACUACAACAUUGAUGAGGAGGCGGCGUUGCAGGCUGCCCUGGCGCUGUCGCUCUCUGAGAACUGAGAGUGACCACGGAGCAUCCAUUUGGACCCCCCUCGCUGCACCGUCUCCUUUUGCACACUUGGCCUUCCCACUGGGGAGACACGGAGCUUGUCACCCCCCCGGACACCUGCUGCCGCCUCCCAUCCCUCUCCUCUCGGGGCAAAUCCCACCUUGUUGAAGAAGGUGGAGACUCUUGAGCAUCGCGCUGGACCAGUGAGCGAGCAGAGACGUCCGCUGCUGGGAGGGGAGAGGAGUCGGUGCCGGAAGGAUCGUUCCUCGGUUAGAUGUUUCAUAUCCGUAUACGGAGUAUAUACCUGUAUCCAGAUCUAUUUAUUAUUAGAUGCUUUUUGGCACCAUUUUGUCUUCACACUCUCUGUUGCGGUUAAAUAAUAGGUACGUAAAACUAUGAUGCAUUUUGUGCAGAAAUGCCCUGGUUUGAAAAUGCAGUCGUCUGCCUCCUUUUUGAAAAGGAAGAAAACAACAUGGAGCAACUUUUGAACUCUUCAAGGCUUUUUCCAGAGACGUCAGUCUGUCCCAUGCCUUGUGCUGCAGGCAGGAGCUGCCUCUUUUGCCACACUGAAUCCUGGGGCUGCCUCAGUGUUGCCCUUGCGUUCCUCGUGAUGGUAGAAGGUUCGGAGGAGUCCGCAGGGAUGGCGUCCGGUGAACCCCUCGCAUUUCUCAUUUUGUACUGGCUCUUGUGAUACUGAGUUCUUGCAUUUUUCUACAUUAAUUGGCGUGAUGCCUUUUCCAUGUUUUAUAGAGCAGCAACAGAAGCUGUUACUCUUCACGCUGCAAUAUAUGUCACCGGGGACAAGAGUAUUUUUAUGGAACAUUAUUAAGAAAGUAUAUUUUUAAAAAAACAAACAAACAUGCUGUGGAUUUGAAAUCGGGUGGGAGGCAGGAGCCGGACCCCCACGGGACUCUGCGGAGGACAGGAGAAGCAUGCGAGCGUCCCCUUCAGUUUUUUCUGGGCUGUUCCCUCCCCUCCUUGUCAUGUUUCUCUGCAGGCGGGUGCUGAUGCAGGAGAGGCCAGUUCAGAGCAGCGUCUCGUCGGGUGCCGAGCAGGGCAUGGUUGAGCUUUUGGUGGCUUAACCCUCGCGGGCAGGGCUCCCUGGACACGGCCGCAGGCAGGAUGUAAUCCCAAGUGCUGCUUUUCUGUCUGCAAGCGAGCAGGCAGGUCGGUUGUGCCAUGCUAGAGCUGUGCACGGAGCAGCCAGGUCAUGUCUGGUGAUGGGCGCGCAGGGGCAACGUCUCCCCACACAUGAUCUCAUCCCUGAUGCUGAGCAUCUUGUCCCCCUGAAAUAGGGGGCUGCAUCCCCCUUUCCCAGGUCUCUCGCUGGGAGUAGGGCACACCUGGGCAGAUGUUGAUCCAAGGGAUGCUCCUUAGUGUCCUGGUGACUGUCCCCUCUGAUCCCCCGCAGGGCUUUGCAGAGAAGGGGUGUGGGACAGCCCAUCCCUCCGCGUGUCCCUGCUCGGGGAAGUGCCCUUUUGGGGUUUAUCCGAGCCUUGGCUCUCGCUUCAGCUCUGUUCUAGCAAUACUGUCUUGUUUCUUACUUUGCUCUCAAUAGUGCUGGGUGUUUUGGGGGCUGUGGGCUCCCCCGUGCCGCUGGCAGCUCUGCGAGGAGCAGGCAGAGGGCAGGGAAAGGCUGGAGCUGCUCUGCUCCCCUCCCUCCAGCCAGGCUGGCGAGGAAGAAUGGGUUUGUCCCUUACCCGCACGGUCAUCCUGGCACCUUCCCAGCCUGGGGGACAUCCCUGGUGGGACAGGGAGCGCUGGCAUCUCCCAAAAGGGACCCAGGGGGGUUUCCCAGCCCUGUGCUCAGCCGGGACUCUUGAGUCCCAGAGCAGCUCUGGCUUGUAGGGAGCUCCCUGCCUCUGAGACAGCACUGUUAACCUCUCUGUCUCCUUCUUCCCCCUCUUCCUCCUCCUUUUUGCCCUGCAACGCCAGAGCAGGGGCAGUGAGAGCUGCUUUUGUAAAGCACUUUAAGGCCCGGGAUGUGAGGGCUGCUGGCCGCACUCGUCAGUGUGUUACCCGCCACUUUUUGCAUAACUAGAACUUUUACUGAGACGUACUGUUUUUUGAAGAAGAAUAAAAUCAAUGAGGUAUUUGUAGCAAACCAUUUUUCUCAAUAAAGGCAGUUUCAUCCA